rnacentral:rRNA from 1 species
UACGUAGGGUGCGAGCGUUGUCCGGAAUUAUUGGGCGUAAAGGGCUCGUAGGCGGUCUGUCGCGUCGGGAGUGAAAACUCAGGGCUUAACCCUGAGCCUGCUUCCGAUACGGGCAGACUAGAGGUAUGCAGGGGAGAACGGAAUUCCUGGUGUAGCGGUGAAAUGCGCAGAUAUCAGGAGGAACACCAGCGGCGAAGGCGGCGCUCUGGGCCGGAACUGACGCUGAGGAGCGAAAGCGUGGGGAGCAAACGGG